rnacentral:tRNA from 1 species
UCCCUGGUGGUCCAGUGGUUAAGACUCUGCCUUGCAAGGCAGGGGACGUGGGGUCAAUCUCUGCUCGGGGAA